GAUACUGUGUGUUACUCAUAUAUAUGUGUACAAAAGAACUUGAAUGCAACUUGAAUGCAGUGUAAAGCCAACUUUCCACAGGACAGAAUAUAGGCUGCGAUUAAAUUCUGUGUCAACAAUCAACUAAAUCUGUUACUGAAAACAUUUGUAAUAUUAGAAGCUUUAUCUCUAUAGUACAAUUUGUGUGCAUUUGCCUCACUCCAACAGUGCCAAUGCAGAGGGAGGAGCUCUGAUGUCUACACAGUGGCUAUCCCCUUUCUCUUCAGUAUUUGAAAAUGCACAUAGAUUUAUGAGGUAUCUGUUCCAGAUCAGGCUGAAGCAUCUACAAAUCUCUACCGAGUGGAUCAGCUAGUCCCAGAUUGAUUUGUAGGGAUUUGUACAGAUCUGUAGCGCAAAAUAGUCUCUAAUGAACCCAGACAGGAUGUCUCUGAAAUGGAGCAAUUACAACACCAUAAAGGAGAACACCAGGGUGGGAAGAGAGGAAGGUCCCAUCCUUAUUUACAUUUUUUAAAAUUGUCUGUGUUUUUUUAUUUUAUUCAAUUUUCAUUGCUAAGAAUUAUUAUUAAAUCUUGUGGGUAUAUUUAGCCACAGUUUUCUGAAUUCAGUGUAGUUGUUAUUUUCCAGCUGCUACCUGAAACAGUAAGAAGCAGCCAGCUUGUGUGGUUUUACCUUUUAUUAUUAUUACUAACCAGCUAGCCAGUCAAGCCUAUAUUAGUCAGCAUUCUGAGUUAAGAAUUAUGAUUAUGAUUUCUAAUUGCAAACCACAGUGAAUAUUUUUAAUAUUAAAAAGUAUUCUUAUUUUU